AUACUUACCUGGACGGGGUCGACGGCUGAUCAAAAAGAGUUGUGGUCUAGGCUAGUGGUCCACAUUGCACUUGGUGGAUGCGCUGGCCUACCAUCUCUCCAAGUAGGAGAAUGGACGUCGUAAUUUGUGAUAGAGGGGGUACGUGUUCGCGCGGCCCCUG
rnacentral:snRNA from 1 species